rnacentral:rRNA from 1 species
UACGUAGGGGGCAAGCGUUGUCCGGAAUCAUUGGGCGUAAAGCGCGCGUAGGCGGCCCGGUAAGUCCGCUGUGAAAGUCCAGGGCUCAACCCUGGAAAGCCGGUGGAUACUGUCGGGCUAGAGUACGGAAGAGGCGAGUGGAAUUCCUGGUGUAGCGGUGGAAUGCGCAGAUAUCAGGAGGAACACCGAUGGCGAAGGCAGCUCGCUGGGACGGUACUGACGCUGAGGCGCGAAAGCGUGGGGAGCGAACAGG